rnacentral:rRNA from 1 species
GACGAACGCUGGCGGCGUGCUUAACACAUGCAAGUCGUACGGUAAGGCCCUUUCGGGGGUACACGAGUGGCGAACGGGGGAGUAACACGUGAGUAACCUGCCCACAACUUUGGGAUAACGCUAGGAAACUGGUGCUAAUACUGGAUAUGUGCUCCUGCUGCAUGGUGGGGGUUGGAAAGCUCCGGCGGUUGUGGAUGGACGCGCGGCCUAUCAGCUUGUUGGUGGGGUAGUGGCCUACCAAGGCGGCGACGGGUAGCCGGCCUGAGAGGGUGACCGGCCACAUUGGGACUGGGAUACGGCCCCGACUCCUACGGGUGGCAGCAGUGGGGGAUAUUGCACAAUGGGCGCGAGCCUGAUGCAGCAACGCCGCGUGCGGGAUGACGGCCUUCGGGUUGGAAACCGCUUUCAGCAGGGACGAAGCUUUUUGUGACGGUACCUGCAGAAGAAGCACCGGCUAACUACGUG